rnacentral:lncRNA from 1 species
GUAAGUUUCAUCAAUUACCCCCCUGAAAUUAACAAAACUUCAAUUACCCCCCUGAAAUUUCACAACGUUAGUCAAUUUACCCCUCCGUCAAAUUUUUCUGUUAGUGAACAUGACGUUUUGCAAAUACCCCCCUGAAGUUUUGCACUUAUGUGCAAAAUGUCCCCCAAACUUAAAAAUUUAUAUUAUUUUUUUCUUAAAAACAAACAAUUAAUAGUUAAAUAUUAAAACUAAC